CACUGAUUUAGAGGAGAGAGGAGUGUCUCUAGAGGAGCUAUAACCGAGGGUCAAGGGUUGCCACUUAGACCAGCAGAAGAAAAGCACAUGUGACACUGGAUCCCGGCAGGGCUAAUGGUCAUUACUCGACAGAGCAGCCUGUGAAUGGCCCCGGACCUAACCUCAUCACUCAGUGUUGACCUCAACUCUUGUCUGACGACCCCGCCGCCCUUAGACCUGCUGCUGGAGGUUCAGAAACCCACUUCCUGCUACUUCAUCUCAAGGUGCUUCGACACACACCACCACACAAACAGGAAACAGCCCUCUUUUGUGUCCCUCAAACUGCAUGCAGUGUACAUUCUUCUGUAUCAGUGCAGCAAAGUGUGCUUUAGUCAUACUUACCUGGUUUAGGUUGAUAUUUGGAAACCUUUCUAUUAUAUUUGUAGGACAAAAUGUUGAGAAUUGAUUCACUUUGACACAAACUAGGCUUGCACGUUUAAUAAAAGGUGAUCAAAUAUGAGCAAAAGUUUAUUUACCGAACAAUGUCUAUAGAUUAAAAACAUAUUCAUUCAGUCAGCCAAAAAACGUUUACACAGGUAGAGAAAUGUGCAGAUUUUCUCCAUUCAUAGUAAUGUUACUUAAGGGUGCGUUCACACCUGCCUUGUAUAGUCCGGUUGAAUCGAACCCUGGUGCGUUUAGCCGCUUGGUGCGGUUCAUUUGGGUCGGUGUGAACACAGUCCGAGACCUCUUAAUGUCUGACCAAUGGUUGAACAGCAUUUCCGUGCACAUGACUUGUGUUUAAAGUUUAUAGUCCGUUUGAACGAACCGAACCUUCUGAAAAAUGAAACAAUGUAACAAACGGUGUGCACCAGAGAAGCAGACUAUUAGGUGUGAAUGCACCCUUAGUCAGCUAUAUCUUAAUUCCUGACCCCUGUGUGAACACUUUCUUCAUAACAAAUGCACUGUUGCAAUAAGGUAUUCUUUUGUUAUUUCUUCACUACUAUUAAAAGGUUACACAUGUGUAGUAAUUGAUUCUGAAAGCUGCUUUUCUACAACUCACUUUUAUUGUAUUGAAUUGUUCCUUCGUCUUCCAAGUGUGUUGUUGAUACAAUGCAGUGAGGAUUUAAUGAGCAGUAUGUCAUGAAUUCAGUUUGUUGUCCACAUGUAGUUGUAUUUUUAGACAACUUAUCUGUUUUAAUUGACCGGUAGGGGAUGUAACAGGGAGGCAGCUUGUUGAUAGAUGGGGUGAUGGAUCGGGGCGGGGGUGUUGUUUGUGGAGGGAGUAAAGGAACAAGACAACCAUCUAAGCUCCAGGUUCUCUGAAGCAACACAGAGGCCUCCACGGGUCAGCUGUGAGGGGUCAGCACCCACCAUUGUGUGGAGGGAAGGGAGUUCCUGUUCCGGCUCAUUUUUGCAAUCUGAGAGAAUAUAAACAUGGACGCACAGAAGUGUCCGGAGAGCGAAAGCAGAAGCAGUGCGGAUGCUGACUGCAGUGUAUGAAGGGGAAGCUGCAGUGUGUUGUUACUGAAAUCAAAUACCACUGCUUAUAUCAAAGGCAAAAUAGAUUUAUUUAUCUAUGUACACAUUUAUA